rnacentral:ncRNA from 1 species
CAGAUAACAGGAAAUGGUGUCUUCCUGACCCAAACCGUCAGCCCAGGGCUGUCUGAUGGCGCCUACAAAUAU